UAAUACGAGAGGCCCAAACGUUAUUCGGAUUUACUGGGCUUAAAGAGUCCGUAGGCGGCGCGACAAGUGGGGUGUGAAAGCCCUCGGCUCAACCGAGGAACUGCGCUCCAAACUGUCGUGCUAGAGGAACCUAGAGGUGAGCAGAACUGAUGGUGGAGCGGUGAAAUGCGUUGAUAUCAUCAGGAAUACCGGAGGCGAAGGCGGCUCACUGGGAGUUUUCUGACGCUGAGGGACGAAAGCCAGGGUAGCGAACGGGAUUAGAUACCCCGGUAGUCCUGGCCGUAAACGAUGAGCACUGGGCCGGAGGCCUGCACAGGCUUCCGGCCGUAGCGAAAGUGUUAAGUGCUCCGCCUGGGGAGUAUGGUCGCAAGGCUG
rnacentral:rRNA from 1 species